rnacentral:rRNA from 1 species
GCCAUUCUGGAGGUAUCAGAAGUGAGAAUGCAGGAAUGAGUAGCGAGAAGGCGGGUGAGAAUCCCGCCGGCCGGAAGUCCAAGGUUUCCAGGGGAAGGUUUGUCCGCCCUGGGGGAGUCGGGACCUAAGCAUAAGCAAGAAUGUGAUGGCGAAUGGAAAACAGGUUAAUAUUCCUGUACCGCUAUUAUCGCUUGAGAGAUGGAGUGACGCAGGAAGGUAUGUGGGAAGGCUGACGGAAUAGCCUUUCCAAGGGCGCAGCAUGGACACGCAGGAAAAUCCGCGUGUCUAAAUGUGAGACCUGACGGGGAAGUGCAUAUGCAUAAGCCACAGAUCCUACACUGCCGGGAAAAACUUCUAUCGAUGAGAAAUAGCGCCCGUACUGUAAACCGACACAGGUGGACAGAGUGAGAAACUUGAGGCCGACAGGAUAACUCUAGCUAAGGAACUCUGCAAAAUAGCCCCGUAACUUCGGGAGAAGGGGUGCCUGAUAUACCUGGAGGGAGAGAUGCCCCGAGGGGAAACAGGCCGCAGUGAAGAGUCCCAAGCAACUGUUUACCAAAAACACAGGUCUAUGCUAAGCUGAAAGGCGACGUAUAUGGGCUGACACCUGCCCAGUGCCGGAAGGUUAAGAGGAGGGUUGAGAGAUCCGAAUUGAAGCCCCGGUGAACGGCGGCCGUAACUAUAACGGUCCUAAGGUAGCGAAAUUCCUUGUCGGGUAAGUUCCGACCUGCACGAAUGGUGAAAUGAUUUGGGAGCUGUCUUGGCUGGAGACCUGGUGAAGUUGUAAUGCCGGUGAAGAUACCGGCUACCUGCAGUAGGACGGAAAGACCCCGUGGAGCUUUACUGUAGUCUGGCAUUGGGUUUUGGCUGUGUGUGUAUAGGAUAGUUGGGAGACUGUGAAGUUAAGGCGUCAGUCUUAACAGAGUCGUCGUUGGAAUACCAACCAUAUGCCGUUGAAAUUCUAAUCCGGGAACGGAGACAGUGCUAGAUGGGCAGUUUGACUGGGGCGGUCGCCUCCCAAAGAGUAACGGAGGCGUUCAAAGGUUCCCUCAGGCUGGAUGGAAAUCAGCCCGGGAGUGCAAACGCAUAAGGGAGCUUGACUGCAAGACUGACGGGUCGAGCAGGUACGAAAGUAGGAGUUAGUGAUCCGGCGGUUCCGUAUGGAAGGACCGUCGCUCAACGGAUAAAAGCUACCCCGGGGAUAACAGGCUGAUACUUCCCAAGAGUCCAUAUCGACGGAAGUGUUUGGCACCUCGAUGUCGGCUCGUCUCAUCCUGGGGCUGGAGAAGGUCCCAAGGGUUGGGCUGUUCGCCCAUUAAAGAGGCACGCGAGCUGGGUUCAGAACGUCGUGAGACAGUUCGGUCCCUAUCCACUGCAGGCGCUUGAAUACUGAAAAGAUCUGACCUUAGUACGAGAGGACCGGGUUGGACAGACCUCUGAUGUAUCAGUUGUCACGCCAGUGGCAUGGCUGAGUAGUCACGUCUGGGACGGAUAAUCGCUGAAAGCAUCUAAGCGAGAAACCGGCUUUGAGAUGAGUAUUCGCAGUACCCAUGGAGAACACAUGGUUGAUAGGCCAGGGGUGCAAGUGCAGCAAUGCAUUCAGCUGACUGGUACUAAUAUUACAUUUGCUUUUUAG